ACCACAAUAAUUUUAUAAUAGCCAAAGCUAUCCUGAGCAAAAAGAACAAGACUGGAAGAAUCAUAUUACUUGAGUUCAAAUUAUACUACAGAGUUACAGUAAGCGAAACAACA